CUCAUUUCAUGACAAAGUUCCUUCUUCAGUCCCAGCAAAGGAAACUCCUUCCCCAACAAUGUCACGAGCUCAUUAGCCUCUCCAAGAAAUAAUGCCUCAACUGAGGCUCUGAUGGUUUUCUGUCCCUUCACAACAUUGGAGCGCACAGGUUGUAGGACAAGCCUCAAGAAAAGCCUAUCAUCUGUGUGUGGUGCAACCUGCUGCCACUGCACAACUAGAUCAGUGGCAUUCUGCUCCAAAGUCUUGUCAACUUGAAAAACUGUGACCCUAUCUGGCACAGCAACAAGUUUAACAGUGUAUGAUAAGAUGACUCCAAAACUUGCUCCUCCCCCUCCUCUUAUAGCCCAGAAAAGAUCUUCCCCCAUGGUUGCCUUGUCAAGAACCCUACCUUUGACAUCAACAAUUUUAGCAUCAACUACAUGGUCAACAGAUAACCCAUAUUUUCUUAUCAUGUUACCAUACCCUCCUCCACUCAAGUGGCCACCAACUCCUACAGUUGGACAAGCCCCAGCAGGAAAGCCAUGAACUUUACUCUUCUCCCAAAUCCUAUAAUAAACUUGUCCAAGACUGGCACCAGCUUGAAUCACAGCAAUCUCAUUUUGCACGUCCACUGUGACAUUCUGAAAAUUGAACAUAUCAAGGAUGACAAAGGGUCCCUGGGAGACAUACGAAACACCUUCAAAAUCGUGGCCUCCACUCCUGAUUUUAAGUUGAACAUCGAUGCUUUUGGCGCACACCACACUGGCUUGUACAUGGUUUUCACUUUGAGGGGUGACAACAAGUGAAGGCUUUUGGAUGGAGGGGGAGGUGAACCUUGCAUUUCUGGCAAAGGCUCGAAGAACUGAGGUGUAGGAUGCAUUGGUUUGGGCAUAGACUAUGUUAGAAACAUGAUCUGGUUGGUUUGUAUGGCUUUGAAGACAGUGAAGAAAGGUGUCGUAGAUGGAUGUGGUUGGCAGAGAGUUAGAGAGAUGAAGAAGCAGAACAAUAACAGAAAGAAAUGGUAGGGAAAUUGGGUUUUCCAUUUGUUCUAUUCCGGAAAGCUUGGUACAUGGGUUGUCCUGUUAUCACUUUCUGUAUUCCUAGUUGGACCACCCAUUAUCUCUUCCUCGAUAGUGGAACAUAAUAAUUGAGUUCCGUUAUCAACCCCCUCGAAGAUAUUUUUAUUUCUCAACCCGUUUCGUUUCAUAACUCAAUUAUGCCAAAAGUGUGUCAGUGUUUGUCCUGUGCUCGAUCUUUUUGUAGAUUUGUUCAUGUACUUUGAUGCACAUGGGUAACAUGCGCCCAAUAUAACGAUCAGAAAACUUACAGGGUUAAUGAAAUUCAAAUGACAGAAAAGUUGAAUGAAAAUCAAAUUCGUAUUCAGAGAAAAUGAUUACAGGUUUCAUGGGUGUUGGGGUUCUUAUAGGCCUCCAGACUUCAAAUUCACUACAAUACAAUUGAAAGUUCAAUUGUUCAGAGCACAAUAAUUAAAGUUCAUUCUCAGUGAAGCCUUGUCCUAUUUUUAGUUUUUGUCUUUUCUUUUAAUACUUUUCUUGAGUAGGAAUAUGCUUUGAUUACAAUAAUUUUAUUAAUCUUUUUUCAUAAUUCUUGAAAUCCGAAGUGAGGGGCCGCCUAAAACAUCCAUUCUCACAAAUUCUUGUUCCAAUCUUGUUAUGUUACAACCUUUCAUAUUUUCAAUUUGGAAUAGCAAAUUAUAGAAGGUUUUUCGAUCAUAUUUUAGGAUUAUUUCUAUUGAUCCUAUGUCAAGGAUUACAAAGUGAUAAAAUUCUUUUACACUAGACAACUUAAUCAUUAUUAGAUGAUAUAAUUAGAUGAUCUAAUACUAUGUUAGACGGUCUCAUAAGAAAAUAUGAAUUUUGAAGAUAAGAAACACUGAUAUGUUAAAGAUAUAACAAAGUUAAAGUUAAUUGAUAUGCAUGUAUCAAAGCUUUAAUUAAUAGACAAUCUACAAUUUUAACAUACUAGAUGGUCUUAGAAUGAUUAACCUGUUAGACGGUCUCGUUUUGUUAGACGAUCUCAGAGAAUUACAACUUACUACACGAUCUCAAAAUGCAGUAAGUUUUGGUUGGUUUAUCCUUUUGUUUUCACUACAGAUUUUAUUAGUUUAUAUGAUAAUUUUUUACUGACUUUAUUGCAUUAAACACUUUUUUGUUAAAUUAAUUCAUUGGGUUUUACUAAAUUAAUUUACUAACUUUUCACUACAUAUUUUUCCUCAUUUUUUCUCAAAUUAUACUGACUUUGCUGCAUUAAAUUAAUGGUUUUGUGAUUGGAUUUUACUAGAUUAUUUUACUGGCUUUUAUAUACUGGUUUUUGGGCAAGAUUUUUUGCAGAAUUUAUUGUAUACUAAACAUUCUUACACUAAUUUGUGUCAUAAUAAUUCUACUAUAUGUAUGAAUCACAUGGUCAUGAUGUAUCUUAUUGAAAUACUUACAUGUGGAUGAUUAAAUUUUCAAGGAAUAAAUCGGUAAAAGCUAUUAUCUUGUAUGAUUGGAGGGUGGUGUUAAGAUUACUCAUUCAUCUUGAUUAUUCAUUACAAAUGUUAUUCUCAAUGUUCUCCUAAUGUUAUUCUUAAGUAUCUUCCCCUAAUCUUUUUAAAAAUAAAAUUUGAUUUAUUUACUAAUUUGGAUACCUCAAUAGAUGGAGGUUGGACCUUGGAGAUUUAGAUGAUAGUAAAUACAAGAUGAAAAUUUCUUGUAAUUAACAUUGGUGAAACUCAUUUAUCCUGACUACUCACUACUUUAGGGAUCCAAAUCUUUCUAAAAACCAAAAAAUAUGGUUUAUAUAUAUAUAUAUAUAUAUAUAUAUAUAGCACUACAGUUUUCUCCCAUGUUUUCUGAAAAGUAAAAAUCUGAUCCAAUUACUAUUUUUGAUGCAAUCCUAACUAGCAUUGUUAUGAGUCUUUUGUUUUGUAUUUUGGGGUGCAGAAUUUUGUGGAAUUGGGUGGCUAAAAUGGGUGAAAGAAAUUGUGAAGCAUUGGUGUAUGAAUGAUAAUGAAGUUUAAGAGAUGUUAGGCCAACUCCUAAUAAGAUUCAAGCAAAACACUAAUAGAAGUGUAAACUUGAGAGUGAGAAUUUGAAGACAAAGGAGCUAGCAACUUGGCAACAUUUCUUUAUCAAUUCAAAUGUAAUUUACAAAUGGGCUAACACUUGUAUUUAUAGUGCUAUGAGUAGUCAAGGUACAAGCUUUAACCCUAAAAAAACUCUUUAGAUGGUCUAGAGUUGCAUUGUUGUCCAAGAGGCUCAAUUGUAACUCUAAUUAGACUCUUUCUUUUUCUAUUUACACCCUACUCUAAUUGGUAAAAUAGGCCUAAAACAUGGUCCAAGAUAAAGUAUAUACUUUGUACAAAUUUAUAAGACUAGAAAAUUUGGAAGAAAAAGUUAAAAAUUAAUUCUUCAUAAAAAUAGAGUUUUAUGACCUUCUUCUUCCUUUCUUCUAGUCAUAUCCUUCCGAAGCGGUACUCCAUAUUUUUUAUAGUGUGUUUCAUCCAAAAUUAUUCUAAAAACUAGAAAAAUAUGAUUUAUUCAUUUACUGCUUUUAUGACAUUUUUAUUUAUGUAGAAUAUAUAUCACACUUUUUUUUAUCUUCUUGUUUGACACAUAUGAAACCUAUAUCAAUUUAAAAUAGAUUAAGAUGAAACUUCACACCUACCCAACCCCUUUACAGUAGAUACUGUAACUUAUUUCUCAUAUAUAGUUGGACCACUAAUGUAGCAUAAAUAUCUGUCACUUUGAAAGGCAUAUGACAUUCCACUAUCACCUUUGCUUAAAUUUUAGAUGUUCCACUAGUGUUGGAUGGUCCAGGUGGUGUCAUUUUACCUUUCACCUACAAUACCCAUGAAUCCUUUAAUUAGUUUAUUUCCCCAACCCAUGUAAUUAUUAUUAUUAUUAUUAUUAUUAUUAUUAUUAUUUAAGGAUAGUAAUAGAAGGAACAACUGAAUGUAAAAAAACAAAAUUUAUAAAAUUUAUAAAUAUAUGUAUAUAUAAUUUACCUUAUGUAAUAUAAAUGACUCAUGAUAUGAAGAUGUAUGUGCAACAUGUUAUAUUUAUAGAUCUUAUUUUGAAUAGUCUAAUUAUUUGGUUUAAAUUUAGUUAAAACAUGAAAAACUGACUAGACCGUGAUGUGCAGUAAAACAUGUUCAUAAACUCUGAUUUUGAAUUAUCUAACCACAUAAUUAUUUUUAAUCAAAGAAUUUUCUAAAUAGAAUUCCAUGUAAAGCUUAUUAGACGCGGUAGUACAAACAUUAAACGCUCUCUGCAACUAUACAUGAACUCUGGUAGAUGCUCUUUGCAAACAUUACUUUCUUUAUCUUUAUUUCUUUUUCCAUUUAGUACGAGAAUUUUAGUAUGAAAAUUUGAAUAGUAUACAAUAUAUUCCUUAUAUAAUUUUUACUAUUCCAUAUCGAUUAACAACAUAAUUAGUUAGUAUUCAUUAUUAAUGAUUUUUAAAAUCCAAUUAUUUGUAUUCAGAAUAAAAAACAUAAUACUUAUAUUUAAUUGGAUAGACAAGAAAAAAAUGUUAUAUAAAAAUUAUAAAAUACCUUAUGAGAAGAGCAUAUUUCAUUUUCUAUUCUAAAUUGCAUCUUGUUUUAGUGAUUUGCACAAAUUUCAUUCAUCUUUUCAAAAUUGUUUCAUUGAAAUUUGAUAUAAAAGUAAAAGAAAAUAAAUGAAAAUUAUGUCUUGGUUAAAUAAAUGAUAUCUCAAAAAUAAUUCAAUUAAAUAAGAUAAAAUCUACUUUAAAUUUUACAAACUUUUAAAAUAAACUUAUUAGUGUUUAUUUUACUUGUAUUCAAUUAGCUGGGUACUACCAAGAAAAAAAAAAUUUACUCUGUUUUAGAAAAAAAAUAAUUCUAACCUGCAUCCAUACAACCAAAAUUAAUGUACACAUUAUCAAGUAAUGAAGGAGUUUUGUCUAAAAGAUAAAAUUUCCCCAAAUACACAUGUUCUUGAUGUACUAAACAUGUACAAGAGUUGAACCAGUUUAAUAGAGAAAAGUAGCAUAGUCAACUAAAUGAAUUGAUCGGUGAGUUUCCUAUGCCCUGGAUAUGAUGGAAUGCUCUGUUCAUUCCAGAAAAAGUUUUCAGGAUCGAUUUCACUCUUAACCUUCACCAAUCUUUCAAAGUUUUUCUUGAAGUACUUCAUACUAUAAAUUUUACCAUCUUGGUAGUUAUCUUUACCAUGACUAUUGAUACCAAUAUCAAGGUCCCUGUAGUUAAAGUAGGCACUCCUUGGAUUCUUGGACACAAAAGGAGUCAUGUAAUUGUGCAGCAUUCUAAUCUGAGAUAAAAACUUUUCUUCUGCCUCAGCUCCUGGUUCCUGCCAACUCACAGUGUACUGAAUCUUAUACAGAUUUCCUGCACGGUGAGGAAACGGAGUAGCAUUAGAAGGGACCUCGUUCAUUUUCCCUCCAUAAGGGAUGAAAGCAAGCUCCACUUUUCCCAACUCAAUCAUCUUUUUCCAUAUCCAUGUCAACCCUUUUCUUGAAAUUGGGAUCUGAACGUAAUCAGAUUUCCUUUUGUUGGAAUUCACCGAGUAAUGGUUUCGGUCAAGCAAUGGAUUAAGUGAGGAGCCAUCACUGUAAUUAACCCACCAAAUCACAGAAUCAAUCCACCUCAUUUCAUGACAAAGUUCCUUCUUCAGUCCCAGCAAAGGAAACUCCUUCCCCAACAAUGGCACGAGCUCAUUAGCCUCUCCAAGAAAUAAUGCCUCAACUGAGGCUCUGAUGGUUUUCUGUCCCUUCACAACGUUGGAGCCCACAGGUUGGAGGACAAGCCUCAAGAAAAGCCUAUCAUCUGUGUGUGGUGCAACCUGCUGCCACUCAACAACUAGAUCAGUGGCAUUCUGCUCCAAAGUCUUGUCAACUUGAAAAACUGUAACUCUAUCUGGCACAGCAACAAGUUUAACAGUG
rnacentral:lncRNA from 1 species